UGCCAGCCGCCGCGGUAAUACGGAGGGGGCUAGCGUUGUUCGGAAUUACUGGGCGUAAAGCGCGCGUAGGCGGUUUAUCAAGUUAGACGUGAAAGCCCUGGGCUCAACCCAGGAACUGCGUUUGAUACUGGUUGACUAGAGGCCGGGAGAGGGUAGUGGAAUUCCCAGUGUAGAGGUGAAAUUCGUAGAUAUUGGGAAGAACACCGGUGGCGAAGGCGGCUACCUGGACCGGACCUGACGCUGAGGUGCGAAAGCGUGGGGAGCAAACAGGAUUAGAUA
rnacentral:rRNA from 1 species